rnacentral:tRNA from 1 species
UGCCCAGGGAUGGGAAUCGAACCCACAAUGUUCCGCUUACCGGGCAGAUGCCAUGUCCACUAGGCUACCCUGGAC